rnacentral:rRNA from 1 species
GACGAACGCUGGCGGCGUGCUUAACACAUGCAAGUCGAACGAGUGGCGAACGGGUGAGUAACCCUUGGGUGAUCUGCCUUGCACAUCGGGAUAAGCUUGGGACACUGGGUCUAAUACGGGAUCGUGCAAGAUGAGCCCGCGGCCUAUCUGCUUGUUGGUGGGGGAAUGGCUACCAAGGCGCGACGGGUAGCCGGGCGGAGAGGGUGUACGGCCACAUUGGGAUGGAUAGCCGGCCAAGACUCCUACGGGAGGCAGCAGGGGUGAAUAUUGCACAAUGGGGGGAAGCCUGAUGCCGGGACGCCGCGGGAGGGAUGACGGCCUUCGGGUUGUAAGCUCCUUUCGACAGGGCCGCGGCAGCUGUAUAAGAAGCACCGGCUAACUACGUGCCAGCAGCCGCGGUAAUAC